rnacentral:rRNA from 1 species
UACGGAGGGUGCAAGCGUUAUCCGGAUUCACUGGGUUUAAAGGGUGCGUAGGAGGGCAGGUAAGUCAGUGGUGAAAUCCCCGAGCUUAACUUGGGAACUGCCGUUGAUACUAUCUGUCUUGAAUACCGUGGAGGUGAGCGGAAUAUGUCAUGUAGCGGUGAAAUGCUUAGAUAUGACAUAGAACACCAAUUGCGAAGGCAGCUCGCUACACGAAUAUUGACACUGAGGCACGGAAAGCGUGGGGAUCAAACAGGA